rnacentral:rRNA from 1 species
AACGAACGCUGGCGGCAUGCUUAACACAUGCAAGUCGAACGAUGGCUUCGGCCAUAGUGGCGGACGGGUGAGUAGCGCGUGGGAACCUGCCCCGAGGUACGGAAUAACCGCUGGAAACGGCGGCUAAUACCGUAUGAGCCCUGAGGGGGAAAGAUUUAUCGGCUUGGGAGGGGCCCGCGUCCGAUUAGGUAGUUGGUGAGGUAAAGGCGCACCAAGCCUGCGAUCGGUAGCUGGUCUGAGAGGAUGAUCAGCCACACUGGGACUGAGACACGGCGCAGACUGCUACGGGAGGCAGCAGUGGGGAAUAUUGGACAAUGGGGGCAACCCUGAUCCAGCAAUGCCGCGUGAGUGAUGAAGGCCUUCGGGUUGUAAAGCUCUUUCACCCACGACGAUGAUGACGGUAGUGGGGGAAGAAGCCCCGGCUAACUUCGUGCCAGCCGCCGCAGUAA